GCAUAUCAAUAAGCGGAGGAAAAGAAAACAACUGUGAUUCCCUUAGUAAUGNCGAAUGAAACGGGAAUAGCCCAUCGCGGAACUGCAGGUCAUCUUGGCCUCGUGGAAUGUCGCGUUCGGGAGAGUCUUAUCGAGGAUUGGACGGCCAGUCAAAGUCCAACUUGACUGUGGCCACUGCCCAUAGAGGGUGAUAGGCCCGUAAGGCGGCUGUCCUUUCUCGCCGACUUUUCCCUAGAGUCGGGUUGCUUGGGAGUGCAGCCCAAAGUGUGAGGUAAACUCCUCAUAAGGCUAAAUAUUACGCAGAGACCGAUAGCAAACAAGUACCGUGAGGGAAGAUUGAAAAGAACUUUGAAGAGAGAGUUCAAUAGUACGUGAAACUGUGUGGUGGUAAACGGAGGGGUUCUCGAAGUUUCCGUGGGGAACUCAACCUUGGUGGUCUGCAGCCUUGUCGUAUUUGAUCAGCAAUGACUUUUCGGCUUGUCCUGCUCUCCUCUCGGGUGCAUUUCCCCCGCGGUUCACGACAGGAACCGUUUGGCUUGAACCGAAGGGCUUGGGUGAAGUUGUUGGUUCUGCUGGCAGCCCCUUGUUCCUGGCUUCACGCCAGACGGGUACGGGAGAGGACUCGUAUAUCGAGCAAUGCUCUGUUGCCGUUCUCAUCUCUCUGUCGAGUAGGUCGGUGGCCCCUCCGACCCGUCUUGAAACACGGACC
rnacentral:rRNA from 1 species